rnacentral:rRNA from 1 species
AUUAAACGCUGGCGGCAUGCCUUACACAUGCAAGUCGAACGGCAGCACGGGGCAACCUGGUGGCGAGUGGCGAACGGGUGAGUAAAGCAUCGGAACGUGCCCUGGAGUGGGGGAUAACGUAGCGAAAGUUACGCUAAUACCGCAUAUUCUGUGAGCAGGAAAGCGGGGGAUCGCAAGACCUCGCGCUAUUGGAGCGGCCGAUAUCAGAUUAGCUAGUUGGUGGGGUAAAGGCCUACCAAGGCAACGAUCUGUAGUUGGUCUGAGAGGAUGAUCCGCCGCACUGGGACUGAGACACGGCCCAGACUCCUACGGGAGGCAGCAGUGGGGAAUUUUGGACAAUGGGCGGAAGCCUGAUCCAGCCAUGCCGCGUGAGUGAAGAAGGCCCUCGGGUUGUAAAGCUCUUUUGUCCGGAAAGAAAGCAAUCGGUUAAUACCCGGUUGUUCUGACGGUACCGAAGAAUAAGCACCGGCUAACUUCGUGCCAGCAGCCGCGGUAAGG